GAUCCUGGCUCAGGAUGAACGCUAGCUAUAGGCUUAACACAUGCAAGUCGAGGGGAAACGGCAUUAUGUGCUUGCACAUUUUGGACGUCGACCGGCGCACGGGUGAGUAUCGCAUAUCCAACCUGCCCUUUACUUGGGGAUACCCCGUUGAAAGACGGCCUAAUACCCGAUGUAAUUCAUUGAUGGCAUCAGAUAUGAAUAAAAGAUUUAUCGGUAAAGGAUGGGGAUGCGU
rnacentral:rRNA from 1 species